UCAUCAUGUAGGAUAAUCCUUGCCUAUUCCUCCAUACAGAGGGCAGAGUCAGAAAGAGAGGGGCAUAUAUAGAAUGACUGCAUUCAUUUGUGGG
rnacentral:snoRNA from 1 species